GCGUGGACAUACUAAAGCGAUGUCGGUGAGAUUCUCCGGUGUCUGAAUUUAAUGGAUUUGUUGGUCUCAAUUUCUCCAAUUUCUCUGUUUAUUGCUGAGUAGCACACGGAAGUGACAUUUCCUCCCGAUACAUUUUUAUGUGUUUGGUUUCUCUUUUAGCUUUCCACGCAGUCGCAGUUCAAUGGAAUUCACACACUUGCUGGGAACCCUUUCAAUAUUCUAGUUUCUACGAAAAUGGUUCAGUGAUCUCCACGUUAUACUCUCUACAAAACUUCCAGGUUACUUUGACACGACUCGAAAACCCGUUCGUCUCGUCUGGACAAGUCUGACGUUUGUCAAAUGCAAUCGUUCCAGCCCAUUUUCCCAGUUUAAAUAAGAGAUGAAAAAUCGAUUGGAAUCUUCGUAAACAACUGCCCAGGUGCUGAACAGAUUUUUUUCGAAUAUCUUCGUUCUUUGUUGUGAACGUGCCAACAGCAGCUGCCGCGUUCAAUCGAUUUGAACGAUAACAAUUCCAGUUUUGUCAACACGUGUAACAAACCUGGAGCUAAAGAUAUGGAUGAUGCAUCAAUUUUACAACAUCGGUCAUGUUCCCAUUUUCUAUUGCCCAAGCUGCGUUCAAAGAUGCUGCAUUGUCAGUUUGCCACUCGAUGCGAACCAUCAAUCUAUUUUCAUGCAAAAUAAAAUGUGGAGGGAAACCUGCUGACCACCAUAGGAUUUUGUAUACGGCUAUACGAUUGAAAGUCCUACUACUAGGCUAUACACAAAACUAAUUUCUCUCUGCCUGUGUGAGAGUUGCAAUUUGAUUUGUUUGAGGGGCAGCUGCCAGAAAAAAAAACCUUUGCGAGAGCUAGACAAUUUAAGUAAACCAUCAAGUAAUCUUACUGCUUAUAGGAAAAAUAUGCAUGUCUGAAAAACUAGAAAAAUGUACAAAGUUUUGAGGGAAUCACUAGGUCCUCUAUAACUUAUAGGGCUGGGAAUUCAUAUCUUUAAAUGAAAUGGUACCUCCCGACUUUCUCAAAAUGUUUGGCACCUGUUCAACUUGAUCAUACGGUCUGACGUUUUGCUUCUCAUUUUUUACAAUACUUUAAAGCCUCGGAAAAUCAACUGAGCUGCCAGUUAUUCCAGUUUCUGUUUCGUUUUGGCUUUUCAUUCUUCUUAAAAAUCUGUUUACCUUUACAUGUUGAAUAAGGCAUCACUGUCUUUGGCGUUCGAAAGAGAACAUUAUACGUUUUAUGUGGAACAGUAGGUUACUUAGCUGGAAGCUUGGAAAGUGAAGCAAGCUUAGACCACACCUUUCGAAUGGCAAUCCGGUUGCUAUGGUAAUAUUCAGUUUUUUAUAUUUAACUCGUCCGCUUUGCAUUUCUUGUCUAUCAUUGAAAACUUGGCUUUUGAACAAAGCCCACCACAUCAUUGAACCAUUAUAUUUUUCAUGGAUGAAACCUUCAAUGUAUUUUAUUAAAUAGGAGUUUAUCAAAAGAUAAUAGGAUAAUUUUGGUUGAACGAGAAGAGGAAAAAAAAAAUCGUUCGUACCAUACAAGCACACGUGAAAUAAAGAGUAAGUGAUGUGUACCGUUAAUUACACUUUAAGGCUGUCCUCCUCGGCCAUCCAAGUAAGAAUUCCAAGCGCGAAUAACGAAUGCUGUGGUAUGAACAGGCUAUAUACGUUUGUGUAAAAAGACUAAUUGCUUUUUGCCUCUUUUUAGCAAGGACGGAACAAAAACGGGUUCUUCUAAUACGUCAUUCCGUUGUCGUAAAUAGCUACAUUGUCAGCACUUAAUUGGUUAUAAAUAGCGUAUGGAAUUGGAUUGUACGGCGUCUGUUUAGGAAUUUGUUCCAACAAAAGAACCAAUGAAUCUUCCUCGUUCCGGUAGUUGGGUUUCAUCCGGUAGGCCCCAAAGAAUGUAUCCGGAUAGGUCGGCCCUCCUUUGCCGUUCUCUUCAGGAAAUCCCAUGGCAGACGGUUUAUCGACUGUCAGUACGGCCUUUCCCCAGUCCGCCACUGCUUGCCGAGUGUCUUUCCCAGCAGUUUCGUAUCUCUGAACGAUUAUAAGUAUAUGAUGCUUCUAUAUUGUCUCUAAAACGUAGCCUAGAACUAAUAGUGCUGCAGUAUAAAACUUACAUAGGGAUCUGCUUCAGGCGAAGGUAAUCCAUCACAGACAGACGAAUACAUGGCAAACACAGCAAACAUCGAUGUCAGAAAGAAGACCUGUAGCGAUACCUUCAUGACGCUUCUCGGUUUGAAUCCUGGAUUCGAGAUGGAGUAAAACUGACGAACUUCGCCGAAUGGUCGUCACCUUUUAUAUAGAUGUGUACACAACUACUCCCGCGUGAGUAGUUGCCUUUACUUGAGGGUUGUAAAAAUUGCGCCAUUUUCAUUCGAUGACGGCGACAUAUUCGAGCGACCCAUGUGCGUAAAAAAAAUCUAUCGCUUUCACCAUACUCACGUGGACUUUUAACCCUUAUUUAAGACUCUAGGAAGCUAAAAUAACCUUCUGUUUUACAUUGGCAAACUUGCAGUGGAAACAGGAAAUAAAAAUGACGUAUUAGCCCUUCAAAAAUUUGGCCAGUUGGGGCUAAAUAUAACAACAUACUUUCGUUUGGAUUCCAUUUGAUGUUGUUUCUCAAUUAACCAAUAAAACGUUUUUGUUUACUUCAAGGUUAAUGGAUGUUUCUUCACUGUGGGGAACGCAAUGUCCCCCAUUCACGACAUGUUUUAAGUGCUACCCUAAGAUACAUUUAUUACUUAACAAUAGCCGUAGAUGCAAUAGAUUCUUGUCGAGAUUCUUGUGUACGUAAAGUGACAGUAAAAUAAAUGUAAAACCAAAUUGAG